CCAUGCAGCCAUUCCACCCCACUGGAAGCUCAUUGGCUCUCCUUGGUUAAGCAGGGUCAGAACUGGCCAGCAUUUGGAUGGGGGACCCAACAAGACAACCCCAAGGUGCUGUAGC
rnacentral:rRNA from 1 species